rnacentral:rRNA from 1 species
CAAUAGCGUAUAUUAAAGUUGUUGCAGUUAAAAAGCUCGUAGUUGGAUUUCUGGUGGGAGCGAUCGGUCUGGCGCUUAGCGCGAGUACUUGCAUCGUCUCCGGCCAUCCUUGGGGAAAGUCUGUCUGGCAUUAAGUUGUCGGGCAGAGGAUCCUCAUCGUUUACUGUGAAAAAAUUAGAGUGUUCAAAGCAGGCUUAUGCCGUUGAAUAUAUUAGCAUGGAAUAAUAAGAUAGGACUUUGGUACUAUGUUGUUGGUUUGCGCACCAAAGUAAUGAUUAAUAGGGACAGUUGGGGGUAUUCGUAUUCCGUUGUCAGAGGUGAAAUUCUUGGAUUUACGGAAGACGAACUACUGCGAAAGCAUUUACCAAGGAUGUUUUCAUUAA